rnacentral:rRNA from 1 species
AUACGUAGGUGACAAGCGUUAUCCGGAUUUACUGGGCGUAAAGGGCGUGUAGGCGGUCUUGCAAGUCAGAAGUGAAAUUCCUGAGCUCAACUCGGGCGCUGCUUCUGAAACUGCAGGACUUGAGUGCUGGAGGGGAUAGCGGAAUUCCUAGUGGAGCGGUAAAAUGCGCAGAUAUUAGAAAGAACACCGUUGGCGAAGGCGGCUAUCUGGACAGAAACUGACGCGAGGGCGCGAUAACAUGAGUAGCAAACAGGAUUAGAUACCCGGGUAGUCCACGCCGUAAACGAUGAAUUCUAGGUGUAGGGGAUAACGACUCCCUCUGUGCCGCAGUGAACACAAUAAGUAUUCCGCCUGGGGAGUUCGGCCGCAAGGUUGAAACUCAAAUGAAUUGACGGGG